CCUACGGGUGGCUGCAGUAGGGAAUCUUGCACAAUGGGGGAAACCCUGAUGCAGCAACGCCGCGUGAGUGAUGACGGCCUUCGGAUUGUAAAGCUCUGUCUUCAGGGACGAUAAUGCGGGUAACUGAGGAGGAAGCCACGGAUAACUACGUGCCAGCAGCCGCGGUAAUACGUAGGUGGCGAGCGUUGUCCGGAUUUACUGGGCGUAAAGGGAGCGUAGGCGGAUUUUUAAGUGUGAUGUGAAAGACUCGGGCUCAACUUGAGUGCUGCAUUUGAAACUGGAAGUCUAGAGUGCAGGAGAGGAGAAUGGAAUUCCUAGUGUAGCGGUGAAAUGCGUAGAGAUUAGGAAGAACACCAGUGGCGAAGGCGAUUCUCUGGACUGUAACUGACGCUGAGGUUCGAAAGCGUGGGGAGCAAACAGGAUUAGAUACCCUAGUAGUC
rnacentral:rRNA from 1 species